AUCUAUCAAAAGCAUUGAAUGUGCCAUCAUUGACAAGGCCUUCGAGGAAGGGUGGAUGGUGCCACGACCACCCCUCAGGAGAACUGGGUAUGUUUUUUCUUUUGCUAAGCAAUAUAACUACAGCCCUUUAAUAUCUUUCAGCAUAGCAUCUCUUAUACAAUUAUGAUAUCUUCGAUGUCCCUGUUAUUGUUUGGAAAAUAAGUUUUUUUCUGGGCCAACAUUGACUGCAAUGGACAUAUUUAUUAGUUACCCCAUGGAAAUGUCUCAAAUUUUUCAGAUUUUUUCCCCAGAUGUUUGGGCUUGAAAUAAUGCAGCUGCUUUUGCUCACAGGAAAAGAGUUGCUAUUGUUGGAAGUGGA
rnacentral:misc_RNA from 1 species